rnacentral:tmRNA from 1 species
GGGGGCGUAAAGGUUUCGACGGGGAUUUUGAAGCAUGGGAAGCGAGCAGAGGGCGGGACCUCUAUAAUACCCGAAACUUAAAAACAAACGCUAACGAUAAUCAGUUAGUUGCUGCUUAAUUAAGCAGCCGUCUGACCGGGCAGGACCACGGGCCUGGAUCAGGCGUCGAUGAGUGGUGAACGUCAGGAUGAGAGUGCCCCGGCUCUCCUGUCGGACAGGGGCUACUGAGACGCACUGCCUGUCUGUCGGCGGUGUGACGAGGGAAUGUUGAUGACAGACUGCGCUCGGAGAUGCCUGUGUGGAGAGGUUUUCGGACGCGGGUUCGACUCCCGCCGCCUUCACCA